GGCACCAUGGCUUAGCUGGCUAAAGCCUCUGUUUCAUAAACAGGAGAUCCUGGAUUCAAGUCCCAGUGGUGCCU